GAGUUGCUCUAAACCUUGUGAUUAAAUCUUGUAAUUUAGAAUAUACUCAGUUUGGAACAGGGAAAAGUACAUGCAUGCAUGCAUAUAUAUAUAUAUAGCUAGAAUUAUUGAGACGACACGUCUCAUCUCCUGCGCGGGCGGUACUGCAUGUGGUGGCACAAGACGACGGGCCCUGGCGGUGUAUAGCUAGCUAGAAUUAUAGGAGGUCAUCCUCCUUGUGCGUCUCGAUGACGACGUCGGAGGUGGGGUACGCAGCGCAGGUGAGCACCCAACCGUCGGCGACCUGGUUGUCGUUGAGGAAGCUCUGGUCGGACUGGUCGACGGAGCCAGAGACGACCUUGCCGGCGCAGGAGGAGCAGGACCCCGCACGGCAGGAGAAGGGCAGGUCGAUGCCUUCCUCCUCGGCGAAGUCCAGGAUGUAGACGUCGUCGGGCACCUGCAGCUCCACCUCCCCCUCCGGCGUGAUCAGCUUCACGUUGUAGGUGGCCUGCGCGCGCAGCAGCUGGCGCCGCAUGGGGGCCGCCAGCGGCUUGGCAACCGCGACCCUGAGCCUGAGUGGGGACGAGAAGCAGGGCGGCGGCGCGCGGAGGAUGCUCAUGCUCAGGGCGGUGGCGGCCAUUGGAUGGCGAUGGAGGAUGGACUCACUCGACUGGCCGGCCGGGCGCUAGCUGCUGCGACUACACACUACACGACACGGGCGGCCACACGGCUCGCUAGCUAGCUGACAAGGGAGAGUUAUUGGCGGAGGGAAGGGUGGGUGGGGGUGCUACGUGGCGGGCGGUGAGCGGUCGGCUUAUCUGCAGUGCAAUGCAACCCCCAUCGAGGAUCACACGUUGCUCAUCGUCGCUACCAGCCAUCCGCCUGCCCCUCUUGGUUGGAUUUGGAUAGGCGUGUGGAGGCCAUACAUCCAUCGUAUGAUAUAUAUCGUCUAGCUACUCGAUCACUUAGCUGUCAGAUCUAUAUAUGGUAACACUAUAGUACAAAUUAACGCA
rnacentral:lncRNA from 1 species